rnacentral:lncRNA from 1 species
GUCAGGAUCCUGAGGUAAAAGAAGCAGGACUAGGACAGGAUUGAUGUGGGAGCAAGUUUAGACAAGCUGGGGCUCUGUUGGACUCUGCAGCCACUUUUAGGAGAACAUAUGGACAGCUGUCCUAAAGAGCCAGAGCUUAAGUGGACCCCAAGGGUCAUACAUGAAGCAUUAGGCCCCAAGCAGAAUUAAGAAAUGAGGUCAGAAACCAGAGACUCAAAACUUAGAUGGGUCAAAGAUCACUUCAAAAGCAAAGGGAUGCUCUUUCCACAGCACCUGUAGGAUCUGGGAUCCACAAACUGGUCUGGGCACUUGAGAGAGCUGUAGGAGGUUGGCCCACAUGACUGUCAGGAGAGGAGAAGAAGAAAACAGAACUCAUGUGACAACAGCUUCACGAGUCAGGAUGGAACUCAGGUCACCUGUCUCCAUAUUCCUGAGUCUUCCAUCUCCACAGUCCUCAGAAAUCAAGUCACCUUUCCCUCUGCCACUUUCAGAAGAGGGCACUGUACCCCAGAGGUAGGGAGGAGGCUCCUUCCCAAAGAUCACAGAGUGACUCCGUGACUGAGCUGGGAAGAAUCCCCAGAC